AGUACAUUUAUUAUCCUAUGAAAAGUGAUGAGGACACUUAUAGUGUGCUGAAAUGAAGAAUUAAUUUUUAGUCCAAUACACACACUUACAAAUCAAAGUAAAAAUCAGCUCUGAUAACAUUUAGCUGGGGGAGGUUUUUACUGAAACAAACAGAAAAGCAUUUUUUCUGUAUUUUACUAAAUGUUCUGGUCAAUUUGAAAUGUAUUUUUCUUAUUCUAUGUUUGAAUGGAAAGUAAAAAAUAAUAAUAAUAAUAAUUCUGGGGCAUAUUAUCAAUUCAUUUAAGUUUGUUUACUUGAUAACUCUGUGAGUAAUACAACUACAUUCUAAACUGUAUCCUUCCCCACCCCCAACUUGGAAUUCUAUAAAUAGGAGGGUAUCAAAUGUGAUAAUUUUAUUUAUGGUAGACAAUCUAGUUCUGAGUCCAGUUUGAAAACACACGGCAAGGCAAAGGCUUCUUCCCAAAUAAAACAGUAAGAACCCAUCAGUAAGAGGAAAAUGAUGCAGGGGUCUGUCUUCCUGUUGAUGUCUCCUGAGGAUAGGGAAAGAAAUUUAUGACAGUCCUACUGAAAAGGCUAAUGGAAGUUAGAUGCAUUUUCUUGCCCUCUGGCACAUAUCUUGGAACCAAGAGCAAAUGUGGAAAGUGCAGUGUAUUGCAACUGUGGACAUUUAAGGUAUGAAAAUAAGAUGACUGCUGACCUGUCUCUGUGCGGUAUGUGGAAGCCACUAAAAAACAUGAACUGCAUAAGUCUUUCACCUCAGAGGUGUCCAUAGAAAUAGAAGCCACAUCUGACAGUCAGGGAGAAGAGUAAGGACAAGGACAAGAGUAAGCAGAAACAAGGAUUUCUGGAAUGGUCCCUGAACUGACUCAGGCUCAAUUCAGGUGAGUUGGGGCAGAAUUUGGAAACAUUUCAUGGCUGUUGGACAAAAGAGAUAGUGCCUUAAAAAUAGAAAGACUUGGAGGUCAAAUGUGGGAGAGAAAUAGAAACCCUCAGGAUAGAAAUGCAAAGUACACUAACUUUUUAAGCUUACUAUGAAAUUUAGAUGGACAACUGCCAUUUGUGUCACAGGCUGCAUAUCUCAGGCUGUAUACAAAACUGGGAGAGGGCAUAGGCAUUAGGUUGCGCACCUACUGUAAAAAACAACUACAACUACAACAAAACUCAAAAUCUACUUUAAUUCAGCUUGCAGAGGGAUUAGACAGACUUCUGCCAACAGGUCACUGCUGUAGUAAUGAGGUCUAAAAAUUAGCAGCCCACAGCUUCACUGACCAUGCAAGUCUUGCACAGAACAAAGUAACUGACAUCUCAGUCCUACUCAUCUAAGCAUUUCAGAAUACAUUUAACACAGAAAAGUCUCAUACCUGUACCUUUAAAAUUAACCAAAGAAGAUAAAGAGAACAGCAAAGGCAAUACAAGGUUUGAGACAGAAGUUUGAAUCUAACCUGACUUAUUUAUCUAUCGAUAAAUGCAAAUUGGCAUUAUCUCCUUG
rnacentral:lncRNA from 1 species